CUUCACUUCACUUUGGAAAACAGCUCCUACAUUACUGCUCUUCUUCAGGGUUACUGAAAAACCAUCUCCAGGACAGCUUUAUUGUUUAACAAAGGUCCAUAAUUGCUGUGUAAUCCAGGAGCUGCAUCUCAGCAGGUCAAACUGGGGCUGGGAUGGACAACUGGCAACAUGUGCAAACUGGAUGAACUCAGGAAUGAACACGGCUGGAAUGAACUCUUGCAUUGCAGCCUGAGAAGUCAGUGUGGGCUGAUGUGGUUAGAGGGCAAACUGCUCCCCGGUGCCUUGCAGCCUAUCUCUGACACGUGCAGGUGCUCUCAGAGCGUGCAACUGUUCAAAAGGACACGAGCCCGAGUGUGCCUCUCCCACUAGCUAAGGAACAGAAGCACACAUGCAAAUGAUUCAGGUGCUGCUUCAAAGCCGAGCGCUACAGAGGAGAUAUGUGGUAGAGGUGAGAGCUGUGGCAGUGGAGAUAAAGGCAGCCCUGAGUGAGGAGCUCCAGGAGCACCUCAGGGAGGGGUCCAUCAUCAGCCCUGGGAGAAGCCAGACCAACACCUGGGAGAUUAUUUCAGCCUUAUCUUCAGAUGUUUGUUUUUCCCUUCGUAUUGCACCAGGCCAUAUUUCUUUCCCAGGUGAAGAUCUGAGCUGGUGCCUCUCCCACCCUCUGGCUUUGCAGUGCCAAUGGCUGCGCCGUGCACCUGCUGGGAAGUGAGCUCAGGCUGGGUGAAGCCACAGAGUCCAAACACAUUGCUGUAUGAAGCACAGAAGGAGAGGUUUUUUUCCAAACGUGCUCCUGGAUGGCUCUGCAGAAGACGUCCUGUCCUAUUCUUCCCUUGUAAGCCAGUGCCUGGGCUGAAGGCAGCCAGAGAGCCUGGUGGGAUGGAGCAGCUUUCAGCAGCUCAGCUGGGAGGCAGGCAGUGACUUAAACUGACUUACAGGCUAUGGAUAGAGCUGUCUUGGUUUGGUGGGUGAGCAGCUUCCGUGCCCCUGCUGCCCUCACCUUGGGACUGCAGGUUGAUACUGAGUUUCAAUAUUGGAUACCACUGGAAGAGAGAAGGAAGUAAAGCAGCCAAGGCGAUAGCUGCUGUCCUGGGAGCAAAAUUGCUGCCCUAGUGCUCUGUAUAAUAACACAAUGAAAGGAACAGCUCCUAACUCUUGGGAAGCAGGAUCCAGCUGUGCCAUCUCCCACGUGGAUGUGGCCGUGCUGGAGCAGCAGCUCAGCACAGACUGUAUGGUGAACUGCUGGAAGCCAGACCGAGCUGCAGAUGACAAGGACAAUAAAUGUGCUUCUGGCACAGCUAACAGCACAG